AUUAUACUCCCUCCGUCCAAAAAAACUUGUCCCAAACUUAUCCCUCAAAUGGAUGUAUCUAGCACUAAUUUGAUGCUAGAUACAUUCAUUUGAGGGACAAGUUUUUUUGGACAGAGGGAGUACCAU
rfam:Triticum aestivum genome assembly, contig: Triticum_aestivum_CS42_TGACv1_scaffold_424407_5BS